rnacentral:lncRNA from 1 species
UUUGAUAAAUAAUAAAAAUAUAUGUACAAGGACUUAGAAUGAAUUGAUCAAAUAUGUUAGGUUGAUCCUACAUAAGCAAAAUAACUUUGUAAAGUCCUUAAAAAGAAAUGAUGUACAAGGACUAUAAAUAUAGAAAGAUCAAGCUUGUUAGGUUGAUCUUAUGAUGUAAUAGAUAGGCUUGUCUGAUCGUCGAGCACUGCACCAGAAGUCGUAGUCUGCCAGAAGAGUCAAGAUUAACUCGAGAGCUAUCGAGGCAGAAUAGGAGUAUGCAAGAUAGUAGAUCUCAGAGUUUGUAGACUGCCAGGGGAAACGAAGAAGAACCGUAGUUUGUCGAGUAGAGCUUCCUCGAGAUCGUAGUAUGCUUAGGAAGUCAUGUUCAGAAUCGUAGAGACAGCCUACCUACGAGCAGACCGAUCAUCUGCCAAAGCCAAGACAGAAACAUAGACUACACUCAGAGUCGUAGAGUCUACUGAUGCCGAAGCCAAGUCAAGGAUCGUAGAUCACACUCUGAGUUCGUAGAGUCUAUUGAUUACAUGCAGAGAUUGUAGUCAAACAAGAUCAGAUGAAGACAUCAAGCACAAGGCAGAAAUCGUAGAGUGUCAAGAUCUGAUCUCAGGAUCGUAGUGUUUGCACCAGCCGAAGCUGAAUCGUAGAUUGCAGAACUACGAUCUCAACAGAAGUGCUCACAAUGCCAAGGCAGAAUCGUAAAGCAUAUACGGUUCUCAACAAAUGAGCACUCCCAGAAUAUCCAAAGGAAUGAAGCCUCUGGUUGGCACUGCAAAGAUGCAUUCCACCUUAAGGGAACCAGAGAACACUCAACGAAUGGCAUGCAGGCUAGCAGAAGAUCUAAGCACCAACCCAAUCAGCAUCAAGAUUGAGUUGUAAGGCCAUUCGUAGUGUUUGCCAAAUAAAGAAAGAACUGAUGGAAGGUGAACCGAGAUACUGGUCAGCCUCUGAAGAACAAGGCUAAAGUGAUUAAGUGCAGGGUCAGUUCAUUGAUGAUAAGUGAACGGGAGAUCACAAGGAGAAAGCAAGCUGGACGCGCCACAAAUCUGAAGUGUUGAUAUUCAGAAGGGGACAAGAGCAAGGAAUUAAGCCAUCAGUUUUUGAGAACAGUCGAAGCAAACAGAAGUAUUGAAGCACUACACAAUAGAAAGAAGAAGUGUUCUACAUUGAAGAUCCAAUCAACACUCUUCAAGAUCGUAGUGUUAACUCUACCAGUCAAUGAGCAACACUCAACAAGACACUACGAUCAGGUCCUUGAAGACGUGCAUCAGAAUCGUAGAGUUCGAAUAGCUGAAGACUGAAGCAUUGGCAAAGGUUCAAUCUGAACGGUAAUAUUCAGAUAAGUGCUUAUUGAGAGCAUAGAUGCAAUAGGACAACCUCUGAUCGAAAAAUCAGAAAGAGGUAAUAAAGUCUUCGACCUGCCCAAGACAUUAAAGUGAUACAUCUGACAGGGCAGGUGAAACAGUAGACUGUAGCAUCAGAAAAAGUAUGACAUUUGACAUCAAGCAGUCUACCUCAAGCAACUCGAGAUCUGUGAAGAGAUUUGAAUAGCCUUCAACGGCUACUUUCCAACGAAAGAAUUGGGAAGAAGUAUAAAUGAGAAAGAGCUUUAAAGAUCAAAGUGAGCUGGAGUUGUCGGUUUUGGAGAGAAGGUGGACUGAUCUAAACUAUGUGAGAUAGUGAGUCCGAAGGCUCACUCUACGAUCCACCAAGAACACUCAGAGACAUGCAAAGUAAGAAGUAGAAGUGAGAGUUCUACAAUGUAGAAGUGAGAGUUCUACUACUUAAAAAGUGUUCUGAACUGCCGAGAGAAAGAAGAGCAUCAUGUCAUCUUGAUGUCCAUCAUGGGAAGACUCUAAAUACAAUAGAGAAGAGCCUAUAGUCAUCUUAGCAAGUCCAUCAUGAGAAGGCAUCAAGUAGCAAGAAGGGAGAUCACAUAUGUCAUCUUGGUGUCAAGCAUGAGAAAGAUUCUAAGUACCUAACAGAAGAGCUUACAGUCAUCUUAGAAGCCUAUCAUGUGCAGCCAUCAAGUACCAAGGAGAAGGAUCUUCAAGGCAGUUCAUCAAGGGGUCAUCCGAAGUGGUUGAGCAACUGAAGAAGCUGAGCAUCAUGCAACACUCAGUUGGACUUCAAGGAUGAUCAAGUCAAGCUGCUAAGUAUAGAAGAUGUUCAGAGCAUGAAGACAUCUUAGCAGCUCAGCACCGACUCCAACAACAACAAACAAACAACUCAACAAAGCCAAGGCCUGAGGGGUCCUUGUCCGGAGGGACUAAAUGAAGCAGGGCUAGAAGGGUCCUUGUCCGAAGGGGCUAAACGAAGUUUCAAGCCUGCUGGGCUUGAAGAGUUCCUAGGGAACUAGAGAAGUUCCAAGGCUGCUGGCCUUGAAGAGUUCUUAGUGAACUGAAGUCCCAAGGCUGCUGGCCUUGAAGGAAUCUUAGUGAUUCAGGGUGCUGCCCUUCCUUAGUGGAAUUCCUGCUAGUUGAAAGCAGAAGAGUGGAUUAGGAGCUUGUGUCUCUGAACCACUUAAAACCCCUUGUGUCUUUUACAUUAUGUCAUUUACAUUAUGUACUAUAACUGCUAUAACUGCUAUGUAUAUUUUAACUGCUUACAACUAAACUUACUCAACGAACAAUGUAUGUAUGAUUAUGAAUAUAUCAAUGAAG